rnacentral:rRNA from 1 species
CGGGUGAGUAACGCGUGAGUAACCUGCCUUCAAGAGGGGGAUAACAUUCUGAAAAGAAUGCUAAUACCGCAUGAUAUAUCGGAACCACAUGGUUCUGAUAUCAAAGAUUUUAUCGCUUGAAGAUGGACUCGCGUCCGAUUAGUUAGUUGGUGAGGUAACGGCUCACCAAGACCGCGAUCGGUAGCCGGACUGAGAGGUUGAACGGCCACAUUGGGACUGAGACACGGCCCAGACUCCUACGGGAGGCAGCAUG